rnacentral:rRNA from 1 species
ACCCUAAACGCGCCCAAUCUCUUCUGAUCUCAGAAGCUAAGCAGGGUCGGACCUGGGUAGUACUUAGAUGGGAGACCGCCUGUGAUUAUUGGAUGCUGUAGGAU